rnacentral:rRNA from 1 species
GGUGGCGAGUGGCGGACGGGUGAGGAAUACAUCGGAAUCUACUUUUUCGUGGGGGAUAACGUAGGGAAACUUACGCUAAUACCGCAUACGACCUACGGGUGAAAGCAGGGGAUCUUCGGACCUUGCGCGAUUGAAUGAGCCGAUGUCGGAUUAGCUAGUUGGCGGGGUAAAGGCCCACCAAGGCGACGAUCCGUAGCUGGUCUGAGAGGAUGAUCAGCCACACUGGAACUGAGACACGGUCCAGACUCCUACGGGAGGCAGCAGUGGGGAAUAUUGGACAAUGGGCGCAAGCCUGAUCCAGCCAUACCGCGUGGGUGAAGAAGGCCUUCGGGUUGUAAAGCCCUUUUGUUGGGAAAGAAAU